CCUUGGAACAAUCUCUGAUCUUUACUGUGCUAGCAACGACAAAAGUAAAGAACUGAACUUUGCUGGAUUUUCAUGUGUCACUUCCAAGUCUAAGUAUGUGUCGAUUUUAUGCAGGUACUUGAUGCCCGUGGCCCGAGAGAACCAUGGCAUGAUUUGCAUUCCAAGAUUGAUGGUCCAGCAGCUUUUGAUGUCCUGAAAAACUUUGAGGAGCGCUGGUUAAAGGCGUCCAAACGCAGCGGAGCUAAGAAGUUAUCAAAAGCAUGUAAUGAUACAUUGCUCUGGAUCGAGAGGAUACCUGAGAUUGUAGCUAUUGACGAUGAAAUCUAUGCAAGUGACAGAGAUCCAGAAAGAUGGGAUGUUCAGGUAUGAUUGCUAGUAGUCUAUUGCCAUAGACUCCUUUUGAGCGAUUGAAUUUUUUUUACCUUUUGAGUGCAGAUCUUCCGAUCUAUUGAUUCAAACUCUGUCAAAGCUUUUCCAAAAGAUCCACGAGAAGCAACCAGUAAGGUAACCGAAAUACAGUUUUCACAGCACCAUAUUAUGUUCACAACUUGAUAUCAUCUUUACCUGAGAUAAGCCUUUUGUUCAUGCUGGCAGAAUCUUGUUUGCGGGAAAAAUGUACUAAUCGAUACGAGCAUACAUACAGCUUACGUUACUGCCAUCCGAGCAGCCCAACACUUCAUAUAUAUUGAAAAUCAGUAUUUCCUUGGUUCUUCCUUUAACUGGGAUUCACACACAGAUGUUGGUAAGCAUAGAAUUAAUACCACAGUGUUCUUUUCAUCUUAUCGCUUCCCAGCUGUCUGAAUAUUUUCCUGGCCCCUUCAUAUUUUUCCUACAUCAUGCCAGCAAGAAAUAUGCCCAAUUUCUUCAUAAACCAUGACUCUGAUAUUGUUUUUUUUGCAGGUGCAAAUAAUUUAAUACCAAUUGAAAUAGCCCUCAAAAUUGCUAACAAGAUUUAUGCAAACGAGAGAUUUUCGGCGUAUAUAAUAAUUCCAAUGUGGCCUGAGGGCAACCCUACUGGUGCUCCUACACAGAGAAUUCUGUAUUGGCAGGUUAGGUUCUUCAUCUCUCUGAGUGCCUCUAAUCUUCUUUAUUUACUAUACUUCCCUCUAAGUGUAGCAACUUCCAAUGGUGUAAUCCAAUUCAUAUGUCUCGUUUUGUUCAUUGUAGAAAAAAACAAUGCAAAUGAUGUAUGAGAUAAUCUAUGGGGCUCUGAAAGAAGUAGGCCUGGAUGGUAAAUAUGAGCCACAGGAUUACCUCAACUUCUUCUGCCUCGGCAACCGCGAAGCCGAGGAAACUCCUGGCACAUCCAGCGGACCAUUUUCAGCCAGCAAUCCUCAGGCAAGACUGCAAUCCAUGGCACAAUCAAUCAUGUUUCAUCCUGCAGCAAGCUGCUGGUCUUAAUUUCUGAAAAAAAAUACGCUCAACUCAUACUUGAUUUUUGUUUCAACACAUGUGGCUUUCAGGAUCAAUCGAGGAAGAACAGGAGAUUCAUGGUGUACGUGCACUCCAAGGGCAUGAUCGUGGACGACGAGUACGUGAUCAUCGGGUCGGCCAACAUCAACCAGAGGUCCAUGGAAGGGACCCGGGACACCGAGAUCGCCAUGGGCGCGUACCAGCCCCAGUACACCUGGGCCAACAUGCUCUCUGCCCCCCGCGGACAGGCAACCAAUCCCCUCAAUCAAACCCCCAAUUCGACAGAUCACACCUCUAGUAGGGUUCGUGCGCAACCCCCGGCUGAAUCCACACUCUCUUUUGUACCUGCAGAUCUACGGGUACAGGAUGUCGCUGUGGGCGGAGCACAUGGGGGCGGUGGAGGAGGGGUUCGAGCGGCCGGAGAGCGUGGAGUGCGUGCGGCGGGUGCGGGGGAUCGGGGAGGAGAACUGGAGAAGGUUCGUGUCGGAGGAGGAGGAGGUGAGGGAGUUGAGGGGGCACCUGCUCAAGUACCCCGUCGGCGUCGACCGAGAGGGGAAGGUGGCGCCGCUGCCCGGCUGCGCCGCGUUCCCGGACCUCGGCGGCAACAUCUGCGGCUCCUUCCUC
rnacentral:lncRNA from 1 species